CCUGCUCCAACAUCAAACAAGCCAUUUUAAAGCUGCCUGACUUUUAGCACACGGUCUGUCUUCCUUUAGCUUCGAAUGAAAAAGGGAAUACAAUGUUUGCUUAUUAGAAGAUAAAUGUGCAGUGCAUUCAAAACUCGAGCAGAGUGUCUCUACCUUCCUCGUAUUAGGAUACCGAACACACUUCAUUGCUAAGACGUUGCCACUAUGAACCAUCACAAACUCUACACGAGAGGACAUAUUUAAAUAGGCUGUGAGAAAAUG